rnacentral:rRNA from 1 species
GAUGAACGCUGGCGGCGUGCCUAAUACAUGCAAGUCGAGCGAAUGGAUUAAGAGCUUGCUCUUAUGAAGUUAGCGGCGGACGGGUGAGUAACACGUGGGUAACCUGCCCAUAAGACUGGGAUAACUCCGGGAAACCGGGGCUAAUACCGGAUAACAUUUUGAACCGCAUGGUUCGAAAUUGAAAGGCGGCUUCGGCUGUCACUUAUGGAUGGACCCGCGUCGCAUUAGCUAGUUGGUGAGGGGACGGCUCACCAAGGCAACGAUGCGUAGCCGAACUGGGAGGGUGAUCGGCCACACUGGGACUGAGACACGGCCCAGAAUCCUACGGGAGGCAGCAGUAGGGAAUCUUCCGCAAUGGACGAAAGUCUGACGGAGCAACGCCGCGUGAGUGAUGAAGGCUUUCGGGUCGUAAAACUCUAUUGUUAGGGAAGAACAAGUGCUAGUUGAAUAAGCUGGCACCUUGACGGUACCUAACCAGAAAGCCAUGGCUAACUACGUGCCAGCCGCCGCAGUAA